AGACACGGUCCGGCCUAAUAAAGAUGUGGUAAUAAUGCUUCAGCCUUUUUCAACUAUCUGCUUUUGCUAGUGUUCUCCAAGAUGACUCCUUUGGUUCAUGAUGUACUAGAUGAAAUCAUUGGCAAAAGAGGCCAUCUUCUACCUACCUGUCAGCGUCUGCUACUUUCUACCAGUGUUCCAUAAAUGGCUUACUGAAGUUCCUGCUUGGCGACUCAGCAAGUUUACCUGUAGGCAGAACGUGGAUAGUUGCCUGAGAUGGCCCACUUGUAGGCACCCCAGAUGUCUGAAGAGGUGGUGCUGGUAGGAUGGGCUGCAACGGUCGAGACAUGGGCUGAGAAGUGCUCACAGUCGACGCAGAAGGAGGACUUAUCUUUUUGGGGUCUGUUAAUUAAAAUGUAAGACACAUGAGCGAUGAUAGAAGACACAAGGUGACCCAGGCCUGACUUUCCAGAGACUUACUCAUGCUUGCUACCUAUAAAUCACAUUGCCCUCUUUAGAAACAAUGUUUUUCUGUUCUCA